GUCUCCGUAGCUCAGUGGUAGAGCGUGCGAUUGCAACCAGCAACAAUCGCGAGGCCCCGUGUUCGAACCACGGUGGGGACU